GUUGGGCCCUCUGUCGUGGAGUUCACCGCCGCCCGGACCAGGCGUUCUGUGACGGCUCUGCGGUAGAGCGUGUAUGUUGGGACCCGAAAGAUGGUGACCUACGCCUGAAUAGGGUGAAGCCAGAGGAAGCUCUGGUGGAGGCUCGUAGAGAUUCUGUCGUGCAAUUCGAUCGUCAAAUUGGGGUAUAGGGGCGAAAGACUAAUCGAACCAUCUAGUAGUUGGUUCCCAUCGUAGUUUCCCUCAAGAUAGCAGAAACUCAUCUCAGAUUUAUGUGGUCAAGCGAAUGCUAAGAGGCGUUGGGGAUGAAACAUCCUUAACCUAUUCUCAACCUUUAAAUAUGUAAGAACGAGCCGUCGCUUGAUUGGCCCACUCGGUGAUAGAGAGUUUCUAGUGGGCCAUUUUUGGUAAGCUGUCCCGGCGAUGCGGGAUGAUCCGAGCAGGAGGCCAAGCUUCCGGAAUGCCCGCUCCUCACACCCCACAAAAGGUGUUAGUUCAUCUAGACACCAGGGCGGUGACCAUGGAAGUCGGAUUCUCCUCAGGAGUGUGUAUCCACUCCCCGACCGAAUGACCUAGCCCAGAAAAUGGAUGGCGCCCAAGCGUGCCACCCACGCCUCCCCGUCACCGCCGAAGUGACAAUCUGACGAGUAGGCAGGCGUGGAGCUACCGUGAAGAAGCCUC
rnacentral:rRNA from 1 species